rnacentral:rRNA from 1 species
UGGGGAAUCUUCCGCAAUGGACGAAAGUCUGACGGAGCAACGCCGCGUGAGUGAAGAAGGUUUUCGGAUCGUAAAACUCUGUCUUUUGGGGCGAACGUGAGUAUGGUGAACAAUCAUAGUCAGUGACGGUACCAAAGGAGGAAGCCACGGCUAACUACGUGCCAGCAGCCGCGGUAAUACGUAGGUGGCAAGCGUUGUCCGGAAUUAUUGGGCGUAAAGAGCGCGUAGGCGGGAUAGUCAGUCUGUUGUAAAAGUGCGGGGCUCAACCCCGUGAUCGCAAUGGAAACAGCUAUUCUUGAGUGCAGGAGAGGAAAGUGGAAUUCCCAGUGUAGCGGUGAAAUGCGUAGAUAUUGGGAGGAACACCAGUGGCGAAGGCGACUUUCUGGACUGUGUCUGACGCUGAGGCGCGAAAGCCAGGGGGAGCGAACGGGAUUAGAUACCCCGGUAGUCCUGGCCGUAAACGAUGGGUACUAGGUGUGGGAGGUAUCGACCCCCUUCCGUGCCGGAGUUAACGCAAUAAGUACCCCGCCUGGGGAGUACGGUCGC